AACGAACGCUGGCGGCAGGCUUAACACAUGCAAGUCGAGCGCCCCGCAAGGGAGCGGCAGACGGGUGAGUAACGCGUGGGAACAUACCCUUUGGUUCGGAAUAACUCAGGGAAACUUGAGCUAAUACCGGAUACGUCCGUAAGGAGAAAGAUUUAUCGCCAAAGGAUUGGCCCGCGUCCGAUUAGCUAGUUGGUGAGGUAACGGCUCACCAAGGCUACGAUCGGUAGCUGGUCUGAGAGGAUGAUCAGCCACAUUGGGACUGAGACACGGCCCAAACUCCUACGGGAGGCAGCAGUGGGGAAUAUUGGACAAUGGGCGCAAGCCUGAUCCAGCCAUGCCGCGUGAGUGAUGAAGGCCUUAGGGUUGUAAAGCUCUUUUGUCCGGGAAGAUAAUGACUGUACCGGAAGAAUAAGCCCCGGCUAACUUCGUGCCAGCAGCCG
rnacentral:rRNA from 1 species